rnacentral:rRNA from 1 species
UACGUAGGGUGCGAGCGUUGUCCGGAAUUAUUGGGCGUAAAGAGCUCGUAGGCGGUGUGUCACGUCGUUCGUGAAAACCUGCAGCUUAACUGUGGGCGUGCGGUCGAUACGGGCAUCACUGGAGUUCGGCAGGGGAGACUGGAAUUCCUGGUGUAGCGGUGAAAUGCGCAGAUAUCAGGAGGAACACCGGUGGCGAAGGCGGGUCUCUGGGCAGUAACUGACGCUGAGGAGCGAAAGCGUGGGGAGCGAACAGG